CACGUAGGCACCAAGCGUUGUCCGGAUUUAUUGGGCGUAAAGAGCUCGUAGGCGGUUCGGUUAGUCGGGUGUGAAAACUUUGGGCUCAACCCAAAGCGUGCACUCGAUACUGCCGUGACUAGGGUUCGGUAGGGGAGUGGGGAAUUCCUAGUGUAGCGGUGAAAUGCGCAGAUAUUAGGAGGAACACCGGUGGCGAAGGCGCCACUCUGGGCCGAAACUGACGCUGAGGAGCGAAAGCGUGGGUAGCAAACAGG
rnacentral:rRNA from 1 species